rnacentral:lncRNA from 1 species
GAAGAGACUUAGAGGUUCUCAAUUUUGGGAACUUGGAGAAACCUAUUCUUCCAUCCAAAUCCAUAGGUUUUAGAUGCAAGGAAUGAAGGCCCUCUCUUUGGGUGAUUAGCCUUUGCUUAUGCAAAGAGGAAUCUACAAAGGUAUAAAUUUCAACUCACUUUGUUUUGAGUUGAGUUUUGGUUCACCAAUCUACUAGGCUUUGAAUUUCUUGGUUAAUGUUUUGUUUUUGAAUGCAUGCAAGCAUGAUUCCGCCUUUUAAUUGUUAUUAGCAUGCUAUAGAUGUUAUUCAAAUGAACAUGUUUUCACAAAAUAUUCCUUUCAUGUACAUCAUUCAAGCUCUCUCCAAUUCAACACACAACUGCCCUGUGCAAAUUCUCUCAACAACCUUGAGAUUGUUUCCUUUCUCUUUUCGCCGACACACCUUCAGUUUAGAUAAAUAGCACUGUGAAGGCAACUAAUGAUAUCUUCAGUUGGUAUAAACAACACUGUCGCCGUAGAAUUAGCCGGUCUCGUAGCAUCUUUAGUCGGCAUAGAUAGCACUACGUCAAGGGCGACUGGUUAUCUAUCCAAGUCUCAUUCGAGAAGGAUUUUCGAAUCCUUAUUGGUCGAGGUCAUCUCAUCAGCCUUCUUGGCGAAGUGAAGUGUUACAGUUUAUUAGGAUCUGCACAUUGCACACCGAGUUAUUUUAUGAUUGGAUACUCUCAAGUGGGAUUUAGAGUUCGGCACUUCGACGGCCGAACCACGUUUAUUGUUAAGACUUAUAUCCGCUUUGAGUAUUUAUGCCCUUACACUUUGGUGUUGAUUCGGCGUGAGUUUACUCUGACGAAUACCAUCACUAUGACUGAAUCCAACGACGACGAUUUGUGAACUUCGUCAGAAUAGUAGCCUUGUCUUCAGGUUCGAGAACCCAAGAGGCCGAGACGUGCUCCUUCUUCGGUAGCAAUCGCAAGACACAGAAGUCGGCUUCGCACGUAACGCAACAUCAACACAUUUUACUCCUCGGUCGAACUCGGCCGACGAGUUGGCAUGCCCUGUAUUCAACCGGAUGACGUAGUUAGCUUAUAGAUUACUCGGCCUGUGCACCACAUAGGCUUAGUAGUUUUUAGGGUCAACAUUUUGGCACGCCCAGUGGGACCCAGUGCUAAAACUAUGAAGUUCAUGCUAAUUGACACACGAUCGGUUAAAAAGAAAACAACUAUGGGAAAAUCAACAACUGAUUUGCCAAUUCAGAACAUAGGACAAAAUGUAUCACAGGCACAGAAUCCCCUUAGCGCCGUGACACCUGAGUCCACAAACGUGACUCGCCGAG